GCCAGGUGUGGUGGUGCAUGCCUGUAAUCCCAGAGGCUCAGGAGGCUGAGGCAGGAGGAUCCUGAGUUCAAAGCCAGCCUCUCUGCAACCUAGCAGGCCAGGCCCUAAGCAACUUAGGGAGACCCUGUCUCUA
rnacentral:sRNA from 1 species